GACGAACGCUGGCGGCGUGCUUAACACAUGCAAGUCGAACGAAGUGGCGAACGGGUGAGUAACGCGUAAUAAACCUGCCCUUCAGAGGGGGAAAAUAGUUGGAAACGACUGCUAAUACCGCAUACUGAAGGAGGGGAUGGCGUCUGAUUAGCUAGUUGGGGGGGUAACGGCCCACCAAGGGGAUGGUCAGUAGCCUGGUUGAUGGGAGUAACGGGACCAUUGGGACUUGGACACGGCCCAGCAUCCUACCGGAGGCAGCAGUGGGGAAACUUCCGCAAUUGACGAAAGUCUGACGGAGCAACUCCGCGUGAGUGAUUACGGCCUUCGGGUUGUAAAGCUCUGUUAAUCGGGACGCGGUACCUGAAUAGAAAGCCACGGCUAACUACGUGCCAGCAGCCGCGGUAAUAC
rnacentral:rRNA from 1 species